CAGUAGCCGCGGUAAUACGGAGGGUGCAAGCGUUAAUCGGAAUUACUGGGCGUAAAGCGCACGCAGGCGGUUUGUUAAGUCAGAUGUGAAAUCCCCGAGCUUAACUUGGGAACUGCAUUUGAAACUGGCAAGCUAGAGUCUUGUAGAGGGGGGUAGAAUUCCAGGUGUAGCGGUGAAAUGUGUAGAGAUCUGGAGGAAUACCGGUGGCGAAGGCGGCCCCCUGGACAAAGACUGACGCUCAGGUGCGAAAGCGUGGGGAGCAAACAGGAUUAGAUACCCGUGUAGUCCCUGUCUCUUAUAC
rnacentral:rRNA from 1 species